rnacentral:rRNA from 1 species
AUUGAACGCUGGCGGCAUGCUUUACACAUGCAAGUCGAACGGCAGCACGGACUUCGGUCUGGUGGCGAGUGGCGAACGGGUGAGUAAUACAUCGGAACGUGCCCAGUUGUGGGGGAUAACUACUCGAAAGAGUAGCUAAUACCGCAUGAGAACUGAGGUUGAAAGCAGGGGAUCGUAAGACCUUGCGCAACUGGAGCGGCCGAUGGCAGAUUAGGUAGUUGGUGGGAUAAAAGCUUACCAAGCCGACGAUCUGUAGCUGGUCUGAGAGGACGACCAGCCACACUGGGACUGAGACACGGCCCAGACUCCUGCGGGAGUCAGCAGUGGGGAAUUUUGGACAAUGGGCGAAAGCCUGAUCCAGCAAUGCCGCGUGCAGGAUGAAGGCCUUCGGGUUGUAAACUGCUUUUGUACGGAACGAAAAGCUUCGGGUUAAUACCCUGGAGUCAUGACGGUACCGUAAGAAUAAGCACCGGCUAACUACGCGCCAGCAGCCGCCGUAACAC